rnacentral:rRNA from 1 species
CCCGAACGCUGGCGGCGUGCCUAAUACAUGCAAGUCGAGCGGACAGAUGGGAGCUUGCUCCCUGAUGUUAGCGGCGGACGGGUGAGUAACACGUGGGUAACCUGCCUGUAAGACUGGGAUAACUCCGGGAAACCGGGGCUAAUACCGGAUGGUUGUUUGAACCGCAUGGUUCAAACAUAAAAGGUGGCUUCGGCUACCACUUACAGAUGGACCCGCGGCGCAUUAGCUAGUUGGUGAGGUAACGGCUCACCAAGGCAACGAUGCGUAGCCGACCUGAGAGGGUGAUCGCCACACUGGGACUGAGACACGCCCAGACUCCUACGGGAGGCAGCAGUAGGGAAUCUUCCGCAAUGGACGAAAGUCUGACGGAGCAACGCCGCGUGAGUGAUGAAGGGUUUCGGAUCGUAAAGCUCUGUUGUUAGGGAAGACAAGUACCGUCGAAUAGGGCGGUACCUUUGACGGUACCUAACCAGAAAGCCCGGCUAACUACGUGCCAACAGCCGGGUAAAUACGUAGGUAGGCAAGCGUUGUCCGGAAUUAUUUGGCCGUAAAGGGCUCGCAGGCGGUUUUUUUAAGUCUGAUGGGAAAGCCCCCGCUCAACCGGGGAGGGUUAUUGGAAACUGGGGAACUUUGAUCCCAAAAAAGGAAAAGGGAUUUCCCCGUGGAGCGGGUAAAAGGCUUAAAAAUUUGGGGGAAACCCCCAGGGGGGGAAGGGGAACUUUUUUGGUUUUGAAACUAACCCCUUAGGGGACCAAACCCUGGGAGGGCGCCAAAAAGGUUUAAAAAACCCCUGGGGGAACGACCCCCCCAAAAUAAAAAAGGGGGUUCAAAGGUUAAGGGGGGUUUCCCCCCCCUUUUCCGGGGGGGGGGAAAAACCAUUAAAACCG